GCUCGCGGUAUGGGUUCUAGCGAGCCCAACCUCCCACCCGUGUUUACUGUACCUUAGUUGCUUCGGCGGGCCCGCCAUUCAUGGCCGCCGGGGGCUCUCAGCCCCGGGCCCGCGCCCGCCGGAGACACCACGAACUCUGUCUGAUCUAGUGAAGUCUGAGUUGAUUGUAUCGCAAUCAGUUAAAACUUUCAACAAUGGAUCUCUUGGUUCCGGCAUCGAUGAAGAACGCAGCGAAAUGCGAUAACUAGUGUGAAUUGCAGAAUUCCGUGAAUCAUCGAGUCUUUGAACGCACAUUGCGCCCCCUGGUAUUCCGGGGGGCAUGCCUGUCCGAGCGUCAUUGCUGCCCAUCAAGCACGGCUUGUGUGUUGGGUCGUCGUCCCCUCUCCGGGGGGGACGGGCCCCAAAGGCAGCGGCGGCACCGCGUCCGAUCCUCGAGCGUAUGGGGCUUUGUCACCCGCUCUGUAGGCCCGGCCGGCGCUUGCCGAACGCAAAUCAAUCUUUUCCAGGUUGACCUCGGAUCAGGUAGGGAUACCCGCUGAACUUAAGCAUAUCAUAAAGCGGGAGAGAAA
rnacentral:rRNA from 1 species